CCGGCGAGAUCGGGGCCAGAGACGGGGGGAAUACGGAGGGGGGUGGCGUUGGUAGGAAUUAAUGGGCGGAAAGCGGGCGUAGGGGGCGGUGUAAGUUAGGGGUGAAAGGCCGAAGCUCAACUUCGGAAUUGCCUUUAAGACUGCAGCGCUAGAAUCAUGGAGAGGUUAGUGGAAUUCCGAGUGGAGAGGUGAAAUUCGUAGAUAUUCGGAAGAACACCAGUGGCGAAGGCGACUAACUGGACAUGUAUUGACGCUGAGGUGCGAAAGCGUGGGGAGCAAACAGGAUUAGAUACCCGGUAUC
rnacentral:rRNA from 1 species